AAAUGUGAAGGCGAUCUGGCUGUAACAUCUGUCACCCCAUUGAUCACCAGGGUUGAUUCCGUUGAUCUGGCUGGCUAGACGGGUGUCCCCUUUCUUUCUCACCACUCCAUGUGCGUCCCUCCCGAAGCUACGCUCUCUGUUGAAGAGGACGACCUUCGGGAUAGAAGAGAGGUCCGUUCUUCUGUCAAGGGUAUACGAGUAGCUGCGCUCCCCUGCUAAAACCUCCAAACAAGCUCUCAAGGUCCAUUUGUAGGAGAAUGUAGGGUAGCCAAGCUUCUAAGACUCCAGGCACAUCCAGAUGAGGCGCUGCAUGUGGCAGUCUGCCUUCCUUU
rnacentral:snRNA from 1 species